rnacentral:rRNA from 1 species
UACGUAGGGUGCAAGCGUUGUCCGGAAUUAUUGGGCGUAAAGAGCUCGUAGGCGGUUUGUCGCGUCGGAUGUGAAAUCCCAGGGCUUAACCCUGGGCCUGCAUUCGAUACGGGCAGGCUAGAGUUCGGUAGGGGAGACUGGAAUUCCUGGUGUAGCGGUGAAAUGCGCAGAUAUCAGGAGGAACACCGGUGGCGAAGGCGGGUCUCUGGGCCGAUACUGACGCUGAGGAGCGAAAGCGUGGGGAGCGAACAGG